AUGACCAGAUCUGAAACUCACCAAGUCAUUCUAGAGCAUUUGUUCGAGAAAGAAAGCAAGAGAACAAACAAGAGAACACAAGCAAGAGGAGCAGCAGGCAGAGAGAGAGAGUGGGGAAGCAGGCUUCCUGCUGAGCAGAGAGCCAGAUGCGGGGCUCUAUCCCAGGACCCUGAGAUCAUGACCUGAGCUGAAGGCAGAGGCUUUUAACCGACUGAGCCACCCAGGUGCCCCCCCCUUUAUUAUUAUUAUUGUUAUUACUAUUAUUUUUAUUAUUAUUUUUGCAUACGGCUAUCCAAUUGUUUAAGCACCAUUUGUUAAAAAGACUAUCUUUCUUCCACUGAACUGCCUUGCCUGCCUUUGGGGGAAAUCAACUGACCGUAUACACGGGGGUCCAUUUCUGCACUCUUUAAUCUGUUCUCUUGGUUGACACAGCUGCUUCAUCACCAAUACUACCCUGUUUUGAUUAUUGUAGGCUCCUACUAGGUCUUGAUCAUGUAACGUAAGUUCUUGACAUGUGUGGUUUUUUUUUUUUUAGAGUUGUUUUGGAUGUUCUAAUUCCUUUAUCUUUCUAUACAAAUGUUAGAAUGAUCAUAAUGGUUUUUACAAAAGUCUUUUUUUUUUUUAAAGAUUUUAUUUAUUUAUUUGACAGACAGAGAUCACGAGUAGGCAGAUAGGCAGGCAGAGAGAGAGAGAAGCAGGGUCCCCGCUGAGCAGAGAGCCCGAUGCGGGGCUUGAUCCCAGGACCCUGGGAUCAUGACCUGAGCUGAAGGCAGAGGCUUAACCCACUGAGCCACCCAGGCACCCCAGUUUUUACAAAAGUCUUUCUGGAAACUUGACCGGAACUGCAUUGAAUCUACAAAUUGGUCCACAGAAAAACCAACAUCUUAACAACAUUGAGAUUCAGAUCUGCGGACAUGGCGUAUCACUCUGUUGGUUAAGUCUUAACUUUUUCUCGGCACUGUUUUCUAGGUUUCAGGGUACCCGUCCUUCACAUCUUUGGUCAAGGUUAUCCUGCAGUAUUUCCUUUUUUUUUAAAGAUUUUAUUUAUUUAUUUAUCAGAGAGAGAGAGAAAGACAGUGAGCACAGGCAGACAGAGUAGCAGAGGGAGAAGCAAGCUCCCUGCGGAGCAAGGAGCCCCAUGCAGGACUCAAUCCCAGGACGCUGGGAUCAUGACCUGAGCCGAAGGCAGCCUCUUAACCAACUGAGCCACCCAGGUGUCACCUAUGUUCACUAUCUUGAUAGUAGUAGUUUCAUGUGUCAAAGCUCAUCAAAUUGUAUACUUCAAAUAUAUGCAGUUUAAUGUAUAUUAAUUAUAUCUUAUUAAAGCUAUUAAAACAUGUGUCCUUGAGCUCCAGGAGCCGGUAGGAAUAAUGUGACCAGCUAAUAUAACCUCAGGCCAGAUACUAAACCAGAUCCAAACUAGGUGUGGGGAGGGACCAAUUUUACCUGUUAUAGAGAAUCAGGUAAUAAGACACUUACCCCACUAUGGGUUUCCCAGAGAUUAGACUUCCACAUCCAGAAACCAGGAAGAUAUGAUACAAUGGUCUGCUCUGAUCUACAGAGGAUAGUCUCCAAGAUCCCCAGUGGAGCCAGAAACCACCAGUAACUUUGAAACCUAUAAAUACCAUUCUCCCUCUCCAUACUUAUGACAAAGUUUGGUUGAUAAAUUAGGCACCGUAAGAGAUCAACAAAAGUAGAAACUACCAUUAGAAUUUUUUUUUCCUUCUUCAGUUUCAUGGAUACAAGAUGUAAGUGAGAACUUAACCACUGACCUUAGCAUUUUCAGCAUACAAUCUUUUUUCUCAUUAAGUAGAGAGCUUUCUUUUUUUUUUUUUUNNNNNNNNNNNNNNNNNN
rnacentral:lncRNA from 1 species